rnacentral:lncRNA from 1 species
UAGAAUAGAAGGAACUAACUCGAUAUUUGAGAUCUCUUGGCUGCUGAUGCCACUGAGCUUCAAUUGCAAACUCAUCUAGCAAAUCAUCAGCAUCAUAAGCUGCAUCCUUGAUGUCUCUGAGCCACGCCUUUAUAGGCCCACUCUUCCACUGCUUCUCCUCUGCAUCUCGCAUCACAGCUCGAAUAGUUCUGAACGUGCGG